UGUGGCUUACUCUUAGAGCACCUGCUUGGCAUGCAGGAGGGCCUGGGUUCAAUCCCCAGCA
rnacentral:tRNA from 1 species